rnacentral:lncRNA from 1 species
GAGCUGAAAGUAGUCAGUUAAAUAGGUGAUUGGGGGCUGAGGAUGUGAGGUCCUGGAGUCUGUCUAGUUUCUUCAGUAAGAUGAAAAAAACUCUUUUCUUUUUUCUCUCCAGACUCAGUGGUUCUCCAUCCUUCCGGACUUCAGCCUGGAUCUCCAAGAGGGGCUCUCUGUAGAGUCCCAGCCCUACUCCGAUCCUCAUAUACCCCCGGUGGAUCCCACAACUCAUUUGACCUUUAACCUUCACCUGUCCAAGAAAGAGAGAGAAGCCAGAGAUAGCCUGAUCCUGCCCUUCCAGUUCAGUUCUGAAAAGUAAGGUUGGGACCUGGGUACGUGGAUCCCUGAGUAGAGCCCAGCAUCUGGGCCGUGGAGAGGUGGGGCAACAGGUUAUUGAUUAACCUGACUUUAUAGGGACUGAAGUCCACCUCCAGAGACAAGUCCAAGUUCUUGAUCCACCCAUUCCCCCUAUAAUGGCAGAGGACCUUUAUGUCUCUUUUCUCUCCCUUAGACCCUUGGGUCACAGCUCCAGUUGUCCCCAGAGCACCCUGGGCCUGGGCUGAGCCAGACCAGACCCUUGGGAGGUGGCGCUAUCCCUAGGCAGUGGUGCUAGGAGGACAGAAGGCUAUAUGGGCGUGGCAAAGGCUGGUUAACAAGGGCUUAGUACAUGCCUGCUGUUCUGUGCCCAGUAUGUGGGCGGAUGAAGCAAGACUACAAGAUCCUUGCCCUCAAGCUGCUAGGAACUUCCGGUU